GGAUUUAUUCAAUAGUCCAGUUGGGGGCGAUAAUGCAAAAUAUUGGUUGACACACACCAAUAAAGUCAACUGAAGAAGAAAAAGCAGAACAAUUUUGUCUUUACAAAUAUUUUCCUGUUUGUGAGAUAAUUUACUUGUUCUCUGUAAUAUCGUAUAGAUUUGGAAUCGUGACAUUAUCUACGGUGGAGGAAAAUAUGCAGGUUUCUCGACUCAUUCCCUGACUAUGAGAAGGGAUUGAGUGACGAUUCGUUUAGCAAACCUUGUGACCCAGCAUGACACCGUGAACAAGAUUGGUCGACCGUCUGCUGGAUCCGAAGCAAGAUACAUUGUCGCCAUGUUUCGUGUUUCGUUAAGGACUCAGAGUGCCCUUCCUGCGGAAGGAAAUGUCGACUCCCCGAACACUUAAAACAAAGUAACUGUACUACUGUAGCCAACACAAUUAGAAAAUAAGACAGGCGAAGAAAUACAUUGUUUCAACAAUGGAUCCGGAAAUGACUGGUAUAAUAAACUAGCCGGAGCGAAAAGGCAGAGGCUGGAUUUCGAAAAGGUCGAGGCUGGAUCUCGCUCCAUGCUCCAGGCAAAUUGGGCAUGCUCCGCUCUUCAGUCCGCUCUAGCUCCUUUCUGCUCACAAACUCUGGUGCAUAAGAUGCUGUGUAUUUUAACAUAUUAAAACAAAAGAGAUCAAUAAUAUUUGUCCAGCAUUUGCUGCUGUUUGCAGAUGUGCAUAAUAUGCUGCGAUCCUAAUUCAAAAGCAUUUAAUAACUCCAAAUAACAAAAACGUAGCUAUAGGUUGUUGUAGCAUUUACACUUAAAACAUGUUUUUCAUUUUUUGCACUGCAUGGGUCAUUGGUACAUUUCCAUGACAUAGACUGACCAGAUGAAUCCGGUUGAAAGCUAUGAUCCCUUAUUGAUGUCACUUGUUAAAUCCACUUCAAUCAGAGUAGAUGAAGAGGAGGAGACAGGUUAAAGAAGGAUUUUUAAGCCUUGAGACAAUUGAGACAUGGAUUGUGUAUGUGUGCAAUUCAGAGGGUGAAUUGGCAAGACAAAACAAAAGAUUAAAGUGCCUUUGAAUGGGGUAUGAUAGUAGGUGCCAGGCGCACCGGUUUGAGUGUGUCAAGAACUGCAACGCAGCUGGGUUUUUCAUGCUCAACAGUUUCCCGUGUGAAUCAAGAAUGGUCCACCACCCAAAGGACAUCCAGCCAAUUUGACACAACUGUGGGAAGCAUUGGGAGUCAACAUGGGCCAGCAUCCCUGUAGAAUGCUUUCGACACCUUGUAGAGUGUAUACUAAGAAUGAUAAUCAAAUCAAAUCAAAUGUAUUUGUCACAAACACAUGGUUAGCAGAUGUUAAUGCGAGUGUAGCGAAAUGCUUGUGCUUCUAGUUCUGACAAUGCAGUAAUAACCAACGAGCAAUCUAACCUAACAAUUCCAAAACUACUACCUUAUACACACAAGUGUAAAGGGAUAAAGAAUAUGUACUUAAAGAUAUAUGAAUGAGU